GAUGAACGCUGGCGGCGUGCCUAAUACAUGCAAGUCGAGCGAACGGACGAGAAGCUUGCUUCUCUGAUGUUAGCGGCGGACGGGUGAGUAACACGUGGAUAACCUACCUAUAAGACUGGGAUAACUUCGGGAAACCGGAGCUAAUACCGGAUGAUAUUUUGAACCGCAUGGUUCAAAGGUGAAAGACGGUCUUGCUGUCACUUAUAGAUGGAUCCGCGCUGCAUUAGCUAGUUGGUAAGGUAACGGCUUACCAAGGCAACGAUGCAUAGCCGACCUGAGAGGGUGAACGGCCCCCCUGGAACUGAGACACCGGCCAGACCCCUAAGGGAGGCAGCAGUAGGGAAUCCUCCGGAAUGGGCGGAAGCCUGACGGAGCAACGGCGCGUGAGUGAUGAAGGUCUUCGGAUCGUAAAACUCUGGUAUUAGGGAAGAAAAUAUGUGGAAGUAACUGGGGACCUCUUGACGGUACCUAAUCAGAAAGCCACGGCUAACUACGUG
rnacentral:rRNA from 1 species